rnacentral:lncRNA from 1 species
AUGAACAAAAUUACUUUGUCUUAUAGCAUACUCCAACUCUUACUGAUGUUAGUUACUCAAGAGAUUGUGAACUAUCAUUCUUUUUUUUUUUUUAAAGAUUGGCACCUGCGAUAACAUCUGUUGCCAAUAUUUUUUUUUUCCUUCUUCUCCCCAAAGCCCCCCUAGUACAUAGUUGUAUGUUCGAGUUGUGAGUGCCUCUGGUUGUACUAUGUGGGACGCCACCUCAGCAUGGCCUGAUGAGUGGUGCCAUGUCCGUGCCCAGGAUCCAAACUGGCAAAACCCGGGGCCACCAAAGUGGAGCGUGUGAACUUAACCACUUGGCCAUGGGGCCGGCCCCUGUGUCAUUUUUAAAGUACAGUAGUUGCUAAGGAAAAUAUGUCCCCUUCUUAUUUAAUUCUGUAUCAUUUUCUUUCUAGGGUUUCCCAAAAUGUCAUUUUAAUCUUAGCAGAAUGCUGGUGGAAGGAUACCACAAGAUCCUAGGAAAGAGAGCUCCAGAUGAAUUUUAACUGUCUAAUGACAGAUUUUAUGACUGAGGCAUUAUGAAAUCUGCUAUCAAGGCACAAGACCAAUAAGAGAAUGUGUGGUAUAGAAAGUCAAACAGCCUCAUGCCAAAUCUGUUACAGACAACAGCAAAAUGAUUCAAACUGUUUGAAAAAUUACUGUGGAGAUUUUUGUGGAAAAAUUAUUGUUGUAAGAAAAUGUAUAAGUCUCAUGGAUCUAUCCUGAGCUUUGGGAUCAGAGCCCUGAGUAUUGAGAGCCUAACCUGUGCCAGGUACCUGCUAGACACUGGGUGCAGAAUGCCUCAUAAAGCUGACAGAGCAGACUGUGAAACCUAUUCAUUGUGUGGCCUGUCCAAUGAAUUACAUUUGUUUCCAAGUUCUGAAAGAUGCUCUCAACAAGCACAAGGUGAGCCAGCAUUUUCCUCAUUGGAUCACCAGUGGGGCAGAAGCCUUGGGCUUCACAUGAGGAAAGUCCACUUUAGCAACCUGAGGAACAUCUUGCCUCCAAAGAAUUCAGUCAGGGAUGUUGCCCCAAAUUGUGAUGAAUUAUUCUUUCAUUUUCCCGCUUGCUUUAUUCUAAUGCCUGGUGGAGGAUGUUCACCUCCUCCUCCUAGCUAGUUGACAGAUACUCUGGUGAGCCUGAGCAAUUGCUGCUGCUGCCCGCCUACCUCUUUUUGCCUGGUUUAACAACACUAGUACUUUAUUAUUCACAGUAUCAUUAAUUAAUUAAUAAGACAGUUGGUGAUGAUAUUAAGGAAGCUGGAACCACUUCAAUUUAGAUCGACACUACUCAAGACAUUGGCACAACUGAUGUUUGUUCAGAAAUAAUAGAGUAUGGCAGGGAAUCUGGGAGAGAAUAAGAGAGGGCUAAUUUGGACCCAACUAAUUAGAAUAUCAUCAUCAUUUGGAUAGAGAGUAACUUAGUAUUUAACUUUUUACAAGUAUAAAAAUGAUUCCUGAAGCAGUGCCAUAAAGUAGUGAUUCUCAUUGGGGAUAGGGAGCUAUAGCAGAAUCUGUUACCCAGAAGCAUGCCAGGUUUGAAAAAGUAUAUUUAUUAUACCUAUUUCUUACAUAAGGCAGAAGGGAAAGCGGGAUAGAACUUCUUGACUGGGAGAGAGGGAAUAUGUAGAAUAUAGAGUGAGAAAUCAGUGCAGGAGGCAUGUAGAGUAGGAACAAAAAGUCAAGAAACACAGUGAGUGUAUAAAUUAAAUAUUUGGAAGAGUAUUUAACUUAUUCAUGAGAACCAACUAUUUUCAAGAACUUUGGCAUAUAUUAUAUAUUUUUAAAAGUCCUGGUUACCAUGGAUUUUAAUAGUCGGUACAGCAAAAUUUUCUUCUUUAUUUUUCAUUACUUUGAGCUUAAUUGGAGAAAGUACCGUGGUGUAGCAGACAGCAUGCUACUGAGAUUGUUAUACUGGCUUUGUUGCUAUGCUGCAGUUAAAAUCAAUGAACAUUUUGGCGAUCAUACUGAGUAUGUGUUGUAGGACCUAUGAGAGCUCACUUCUUCCUUGAACCUGUUUCCUCACUGUAGGUUCCAGUUACUAUUGCUGUGUAUCAAGCCACCCCAAAACUUGGUGGCAUCACACACCUAUGGUAUCCUGCUCACAGAUGUGGGUCAG